rnacentral:rRNA from 1 species
CCCAGAUGGGAAAAGCUAGUAGGUGGGGUAACGGCUCACCUAGGCGACGAUCCCUAGCUGGUCUGAGAGGAUGACCAGCCACACUGGAACUGAGACACGGUCCAGACUCCUACGGGAGGCAGCAGUGGGGAAUAUUGCACAAUGGGCGCAAGCCUGAUGCAGCCAUGCCGCGUGUGUGAAGAAGGCCUUCGGGUUGUAAAGCACUUUCAGCGGGGAGGAAGGCGAUGUGGUUAAUAACCUYAUCGAUUGACGUUACCCGCAGAAGAAGCACCGGCUAACUCCGUGCCAGCAGCCGCGGUAAUACGGAGGGUGCAAGCGUUAAUCGGAUAAACUGGGCGUAAAGCGCACGCAGGCGGUCUGUCAAGUCGGAUGUGAAAUCCCCGGGCUCAACCUGGGAACUGCAUUCGAAACUGGCAGGCUAGAGUCUUGUAGAGGGGGGUAGAAUUCCAGGUGUAGCGGUGAAAUGCGUAGUCAUCUGGAGGAAUACCGGUGGCGAAGGCGGCGGGGUGGACAAAGACUGACGCUCAGGUGCGAAAGCGUCCCCAGCAAACAGGAUUAGAUACCCUGGUAGUCCACGCCGUAAACGAUGUCGAUUUGGAGGUUGUGCCCUUGAGGCCACGCUUCCGGAGCUAACGCGUUAAAUCGACCGCCUGGGGAGUACGGCCGCAUCCUUAAAACUCAAAUGAAUUGACGGGGGCCCGCACAAGCGGUGGAGCAUGUGGUUUAAUUCGAUGCAACGCGAAGAACCUUACCUGGUCUUGACAUCCACAGAACUUUCCAGAGAUGGAUUGGUGCCUUCGGGAACUGUGAGACAGGUGCUGCAUGGCUGUCGUCAGCUCGUGUUGUGAAAUGUUGGGUUAAGUCCCGCAACGAGCGCAACCCUUAUCCUUUGUUGCCAGCGGUUAGGCCGGGAACUCUUAGGAGACUCGGAGUGAUAAACUGGAGGAAGGUGGGGAUGACGUCAAGUCAUCAUGGCCCUUACGACCAGGGCUACACACGUGCUACAAUGGCAUAUACAAAGAGAAGCGACCUCGCGAGAGCAAGCCCUCCUCAUAAAGUAUGUCGUAGUGGGGAUUGGAGUCUGCUUGUCGA